UGUACAUAUUUUAAUAGCAUUUUAACAGCCUCAUAGAAAAUCAAAACUGUCAGUACUAGUAGGCUCCACAUCUACCUUUUAUGAAUAUCUGACCAAAUGCAAAGUUAGUACCUCAGGCAAAAGUGAGAUCAAUGAUGCUUCAAAAUGGCCUUUCAUGGCACUGAAAAAACAAAACAAAACAAGCCAUAUUUUUUACACAGAAAAUGGAGCAUCUUGGAAGAUGUUUUUAUUUCAAAGGUAUUUAUACCGGUAUUACUUAAUUGUUACAUUUCUGUUUUUAAUUACUUAUAUAGCGUGGUUUGGUUUUUUCUUUUCUUUUUUUUUUUUUUUUAAACUUAGAGUUACUGUUUCCUAAAGUUGGGAAUGUUACCGUUAGGUUGACUAGGCGUGCUGUAUCAGCAUGUCUGUGUUUGAUGAUUUUCUUUCUUACAAGGACCCAAUUGCAGAUGAGACAAACUUUUACAGUUUAUGUAUAUAUUUCACAUAGGAGAUCAACUUUUUGUUGGUGGUGGCUGGAGGUUUUUUACUUGUUUUGUUGUUUUUGUUUUGUUUUGUUUUGUUUGUUUUUGUUUUUCAAAACAUGGUUUCUUUGUGCAACAAAGUCCUGGCUGCCAGGGACUGGCUUUGUGGGCCAGGCUAGCCUCCAAUUCAGAGAUCCCCUGCGUCUCUGCCACGGGAGUGCUGGGAUCAAAGGCCACCGCCUCCAGCAGGCAACAUCGCCUUUUGAUGAAUGUAUUAUUUUGUUGCCUUUUUACCUGAGCAGAACGUAAGAGUGGUCUUUGAAUAAUGUUGUUUGCUACUUCUGUAUUUAUAAAAAAAAAAAAUGACAGCUUCUAAGGCAGUGAAACUCAGAACUCCAUGAUUCAUGUGGAAAUAUUUAAAACUUAAAUGAUUAGUGACACGUUAUUCUGUGGAUGUAAUUUCCAUCUGAACACCUGGAAUAUAGUUUUGCUAGUAGUGUCCAAUAAAUAUGGGGACUGUUUUAUUCAGUGUUUCAUACUUAUACUUUAGAGUAUUUUUGUACAAGAUCCAGAUUUAUUUUGCUUGAGGUGUUUAUGCCAUCACAAAGUUGUAAAUAAUUUUCUAAGACUCUUUUAAUGUAAUCUACAAUUUUCCUAAAAUAUUUUUCUUGAGGCCUCUUUUAAAUAAUCACUAGGAGCUUCUUCAAAGAACUAAACUGAUGCUACAUGACCACGGCUGUGGUUACAGCUGCUGCCAUGGUAAAGUUGGCUUCCCUUUUAAAACUGCUGGAGUUGAUCCUUGCAUACAAAAGCAUCUCUAAAUUAGGUUUGAUUGUAUCCCAUGUCCUAAGAUGAGAAAGUGACCAGCUAUUGCAAGUUGAGAUAUUAUUUAAAGACUUAGUGAACACUUUUUAAAGAAUAAAUCUUUGUCUCUCUAAAUGAUUUUAAUCUCCUUGGCUCAGUGUUUCUCUUUUGUGUGUGGUGUAUGUGGUGUGUGUGUGUGUGUGUGUGUGCGCGCGCACGCGCGCGCGCACAUAUAUGCACAUGUGUGUAAAAGUGUCCCAAGAAAGACAUCAAGUGUUUUUCUCUAUUGCUGUCUGUUUGCU
ensembl:lncRNA